AUGGAGUUCUCCAAGGGCGCGGGGGUCGUCCCUCCAUCCAGGAAUCUAUUUCUUUUUCUUUUCUUUCUUUCUUUCUUUUUUUUUUUUUUUGAAACCCCGGGGUACCUUCCAAGUGGCUUUAAGAGGGCCCCGGUGAGCAGCCGCCCCCGCUUCCACCCCCCCCCGCACAGACACCCAUGCCCAGAGAGCUCCGCCUUGGGAGAGAAUGUUUCAGACGCGCUGGCUGGCGGAUCGCGCGGAAAGGGGACCUCCCCCGCCCUUCCGGCAGCCCCCAGCUCGGGCCCCGGCCCCCCACCCUCCCUCCCUCCCUGCCCCUUGCUGGGCCCUGGGAUUCCCAGCCUCGUGGAGAGGGUGCACCGUGGCCACCCUAAGGGCUUCGGGACGCCGAGCAGCCAGGCGUGCGCGGCGUCACCGGAGAAGGGAGUGAGUGCAGGGAGAACGCCCGGCCAGGCGGAGCGCCCCCUCUAUCCUGUUCCAGGUUCUCCUAUGGCGUGCAAACGCCUACCCCGGAGCUCCGCGAGGGGCUGCCGGGAUCCCAAAGGAGGGGAAAGUUAGCGGAGCUUUGCAAGUGCGCCGAGGGAGUUCGGGCCUAAAGCGCCCGGGAGAGGCCCAGAGCUCUCUGCUGCGGCUCCCCCCACUCGCCCCCGCCCCAGGGGCCCUGCCCGAGCUCCAGGUGCCCUCCGGUGCCCAGGCUCUCAGGAGCACGCUCCCAGGGCCUGCGUGGGCCUCGGGAAUCCGGACAGACGUGGCAGAGUCCAGCACAAAGCACCCCGAGCGCUUCCGAGGGAAAGACACCCCCUUGGAGGUGUCUCUCCACACCUUUCCGUGCAGACCCCGGCCUUUCCGGCGUCCAGACACAAAACCGACCGCGUCCCAGCUCGACUUUCAGGUCGGGAGUGAGCAAGACGUGGGAGGCUACUGCAGGCGCCUGAGCAGCCCCUCCGUGCUCUGGGCCCAGGGCAGGGUCUCGUCGAUCCACGCACUGGGCCCAGGCCGGACCCUGUGCACUACGGGACCCAGGGGUAGCUGCGUCCGGGCCGGAGCUCCGCGCAGCUGCCCGCGGGAUGCUCCCUGCAGUCGCACGGCCCGGCCCGGCCCGGGAUUACAGGCAUCUUCCCUCCGGCCCGCGGACCUGGAGGGCGCCGCCCACGCCAGGAGCCCGGCUCGCCAAGUCUGCGCGCCGCGUGGGAGCCGCGCGCGGGGCGGGGUAGAGGGGUGGCGAGGGCUUGUUUUCCUUCUCCGAGCCUUUGGACUUCAGGGCGAAGUUUCCCGGUAGGCGCCUGGGCCCCGGGGUCGCAGCCUCGCACCGCCGCUGUUGCGCAACCCCCCGCUGGUUGCCCCGCCCAACUUCCCCCGCCCCCUGGGGGCCGAGGGGAGGGCGGAAGACCCCUAUCUGAGGAUCUUUGGGUCCCAUAUAG
rnacentral:lncRNA from 1 species